rnacentral:rRNA from 1 species
CCUUAUACAUGCAAGUCGUACGCGAAAGUAACCUUCGGGUUGCGAGUAGAGUGGCAAACGGGUGAGUAACGCGUGGGUGACCUGCCUUCGAGCGGGGGAUAACCUUCCGAAAGGAUGGCUAAUACCGCAUAACAUCCCGCCCUUGGACGGGCGGUGAUCAAAGUCGGGGAUCGCAAGACCUGGCGCUUGGAGAGGGACCCGCGUCCGAUUAGCUUGUUGGUGGGGUAACGGCCUACCAAGGCUUCGAUCGGUAGCCGGCCUGAGAGGGCGGACGGCCACAAUGGGACUGAGACACGGCCCAUACUCCUACGGGAGGCAGCAGUAAGGAAUUGUUCGCAAUGGGCGCAAGCCUGACGACGCAACGCCGCGUGGAGGACGAAGAUCUUCGGGUUGUAAACUCCUGUCGAGCGGGAAGAAUAGUGUGAUGGUUAAUAGCUAUCACGCCUGACGGUACCGUUAAAGGAAGCCCCGGCUAACUCCGUGCCAGCAGCCGCGGUAAUACGGGGGGGGCAAGCGUUGUUCGGAAUUACUGGGCGUAAAGGGCUCGCAGGCGGCCAGCCAAGUCGGAUGUGAAAUCCCCAGGCUUAACCUGGGAACUGCAUCCGAUACUGGUUGGCUUGAAGCCGGGAGAGGGAUGCGGAAUUCCAGGUGUAGCGGUGAAAUGCGUAGAUAUCUGGAGGAACACCGGUGGCGAAGGCGGCAUCCUGGACCGGUCUUGACGCUGAGGAGCGAAAGCUAAGGGAGCGAACGGGAUUAGAUACCCCGGUAGUCUUAGCCCUAAACGAUGAAUGCUUGGUGUGGCGGGUAUUGAUCCCUGCCGUGCCGGAGCUAACGCAUUAAGCAUUCCGCCUGGGGAGUACGGUCGCAAGGCUGAAACU